rnacentral:rRNA from 1 species
GCCAGACUCCUACGGGAGGCAGCAGUGGGGGAUAUUGCACAAUGGGGGGAACCCUGAUGCAGCGACGCCGCGUGGGUGAAGGAGCGUUUCGGCGCGUAAAGCCCUAUCGGCAGGGAAGAAGGAGGACGGUACCUGACUAAGAAGCCCCGGCUAACUACGUGCCAGCAGCCGCGGUAAUACGUAGGGGGCAAGCGUUAUCCGGAUUUACUGGGUGUAAAGGGGGCGCAGACGGCAGCGCAAGCCAGGAGUGAAAGCCCGGGGCCCAACCCCGGGACUGCUCUUGGAACUGCGCGGCUGGAGUGCAGGAGGGGCAGGCGGAAUUCCUGGUGGAGCGGUGAAAUGCGUAGAUAUCAGGAGGAACACCGGUGACGAAGGCGGCCUGCUGGACUGCGACUGACGUUGAGGCCCGAAAGCGUGGGGAGCAAACAGGAUUAGAUACCCUGGUACCA